ensembl:lncRNA
AAGGGAAUUUCAAGAGAAUCCCGUAGAAGUUAGAAAACAUCGACUUUCUCAUUCCAGGUUACAGUCCAUUCCAAAACUGACUCUUGACCUGCAGCCUCAGUUUCUAAUCUGCUGAGGCUCCUUAACUUGGAGUGCAACCUCAUGCCCUGUCUGCCCCCUUUGUGCCACCCUUCAAUCCUCUCCCUUGCUUCUCUGUGCCAUCUCUACCCCAGAAUUCUCCGUGACUCGGGCAGCAGCUCUGUUCGCUCAGAUGACAAGGAAGGUCAAGAUGGUUACUCGUACCCGGGCUAUGCUGGUCCACAUUUCAGCUCAUACUUGGAAGUCAAGGCCAGUGCACCUGUCUCCAUAGCUCAUCCUUCCACGUAGCCAUGAACGCUCUGUGCUCUUCCGCCAGCUGUCGCUCUUUGGUACCAACAGAAGAACUGGAUAAGGACCGAGAAGGAUUAUGCCAUCAGAUUCCUACUGCUCUACUCCAUGUUGUCAUCAGAUAAAUCCUCUCUGUGAAAAGAUGUCAACAUGGUGAGAAAGAAUAGAGAAGCCUGAUAGUCACUGGGGAUGCCCAUGGAGAUGCUGGUGUGAGGCAGGACCUAAGGAUACAAUUUUCAGGUGCGGCAGGAAACGACUGACCCCUCACCCUGCCCCCGCAGUGACCUCAACCCUGCUCCUGAGGAC